AGGGAAUCUUCCGCAAUGGGCGAAAGCCUGACGGAGCAACGCCGCGUGAGUGAUGAAGGUCUUCGGACCGUAAAACUCUGUUAUUAGGGAAGAACAUAUGUGUAAGUAACUGUGCACAUCUUGACGGUACCUAAUCAGAAAGCCACGGCUAACUACGUGCCAGCAGCCGCGGUAAUACGUAGGUGGCAAGCGUUAUCCGGAAUUAUUGGGCGUAAAGCGCGCGUAGGCGGUUUUUUAAGUCUGAUGUGAAAGCCCACGGCUCAACCGUGGAGGGUCAUUGGAAACUGGAAAACUUGAGUGCAGAAGAGGAAAGUGGAAUUCCAUGUGUAGCGGUGAAAUGCGCAGAGAUAUGGAGGAACACCAGUGGCGAAGGCGACUUUCUGGUCUGUAACUGACGCUGAUGUGCGAAAGCGUGGGGAUCAAACAGGAUUAGAUACCCUGGUAGUCCACGCCGUAAACGAUGAGUGCUAAGUGUUAGGGGGUUUCCGCCCCUUAGUGCUGCAGCUAACGCAUUAAGCACUCCGCCUGGGGAGUACGACCGCAAGGUUG
rnacentral:rRNA from 1 species